GACGAACGCUGGCGGCGUGCUUAACACAUGCAAGUCGAACGGUGAACCUGGAGCUUGCUCCGGGGGAUCAGUGGCGAACGGGUGAGUAACACGUGAGUAACCUGCCCCAGACUCUGGGAUAACUUCGGGAAACCGAGGCUAAUACCGGAUAUGCGACGAGAGGGCAUCCUCAUCGUCGGGAAAGAAUUUUCGGUCUGGGAUGGACUCGCGGCCUAUCAGCUUGUUGGUGGGGUAAUGGCCUACCAAGGCGACGACGGGUAGCCGGCCUGGGAGGGCGACCGGCCACACUGGAACUGAGACACGGUCCAGACUCCUACGGGAGGCAGCAGUGGGGGAAUAUUGCACAAUGGGCGCAAGCCUGAUGCAGCAACGCCGCGUGGGGGCAUGAA
rnacentral:rRNA from 1 species